rnacentral:rRNA from 1 species
UGUCAUACCACCCUGGACACACCUGAGCUCAUCUGAUCUCAGAAGCUAAGCAGAAUUGGGCCUGGCUAGUACUUGCAUGAUAGACCAAAGAGGCAGCCAUGGCCUGCAC